AACGAACGCUGGCGGCAUGCCUAACACAUGCAAGUCGAACGAGAACGGAUUAUAGCUUGCUAUAAUUGUCAGCUAAGUGGCGCACGGGUGAGUAAUGUAUAGGUAAUAUGCCUCUUACUAAGGGAUAACAAAUGGAAACGUUUGCUAAUACCUUAUACUCCUUAUUAACAGAAGUUAAUAAGGGAAAGAUUUAUUGGUAAGAGAUUAGCCUGUAUUGUAUCAGUUAGUUGGUGGGGUAAUGGCUUACCAAGACUAUGACACAUAACUGGUUUGAGAGGAUGAUCAGUCACACUGGAACUGAGACACGGUCCAGACUCCUACGGGAGGCAGCAGUGGGGAAUAUUGCACAAUGGACGAAAGUCUGAUGCAGCAACGCCGCGUGGAGGAUGACACAUUUCGGUGCGUAAACUCCUUUUAUAUGAGAAGAUAAUGACGGUAUUAUAUGAAUAAGCACCGGCUAACUCCGUGCCAGCCGCCGCGGUAAGAC
rnacentral:rRNA from 1 species